AAAUUGAAGAGUUUGAUCAUGGCUCAGAUUGAACGCUGGCGGCAGGCCUAACACAUGCAAGUCGAACGGUAACAGAAAGCAGCUUGCUGCUUUGCUGACGAGUGGCGGACGGGUGAGUAAUGUCUGGGAAACUGCCUGAUGGAGGGGGAUAACUACUGGAAACGGUAGCUAAUACCGCAUAACGUCGCAAGACCAAAGAGGGGGACCUUCGGGCCUCUUGCCAUCGGAUGUGCCCAGAUGGGAUUAGCUUGUUGGUGGGGUAACGGCUCACCAAGGCGACGAUCCCUAGCUGGUCUGAGAGGAUGACCAGCCACACUGGAACUGAGACACGGUCCAGACUCCUACGGGAGGCAGCAGUGGGGAAUAUUGCACAAUGGGCGCAAGCCUGAUGCAGCCAUGCCGCGUGUAUGAAGAAGGCCUUCGGGUUGUAAAGUACUUUCAGCGGGGAGGAAGGGAGUAAAGUUAAUACCUUUGCUCAUUGACGUUACCCGCAGAAGAAGCACCGGCUAACUCCGUGCCAGCAGCCGCGGUAAUACGGAGGGUGCAAGCGUUAAUCGGAAUUACUGGGCGUAAAGCGCACGCAGGCGGUUUGUUAAGUCAGAUGUGAAAUCCCCGGGCUCAACCUGGGAACUGCAUCUGAUACUGGCAAGCUUGAGUCUCGUAGAGGGGGGUAGAAUUCCAGGUGUAGCGGUGAAAUGCGUAGAGAUCUGGAGGAAUACCGGUGGCGAAGGCGGCCCCCUGGACGAAGACUGACGCUCAGGUGCGAAAGCGUGGGGAGCAAACAGGAUUAGAUACCCUGGUAGUCCACGCCGUAAACGAUGUCGACUUGGAGGUUGUGCCCUUGAGGCGUGGCUUCCGGAGCUAACGCGUUAAGUCGACCGCCUGGGGAGUACGGCCGCAAGGUUAAAACUCAAAUGAAUUGACGGGGGCCCGCACAAGCGGUGGAGCAUGUGGUUUAAUUCGAUGCAACGCGAAGAACCUUACCUGGUCUUGACAUCCACGGAAGUUUUCAGAGAUGAGAAUGUGCCUUCGGGAACCGUGAGACAGGUGCUGCAUGGCUGUCGUCAGCUCGUGUUGUGAAAUGUUGGGUUAAGUCCCGCAACGAGCGCAACCCUUAUCCUUUGUUGCCAGCGGUCCGGCCGGGAACUCAAAGGAGACUGCCAGUGAUAAACUGGAGGAAGGUGGGGAUGACGUCAAGUCAUCAUGGCCCUUACGACCAGGGCUACACACGUGCUACAAUGGCGCAUACAAAGAGAAGCGACCUCGCGAGAGCAAGCGGACCUCAUAAAGUGCGUCGUAGUCCGGAUUGGAGUCUGCAACUCGACUCCAUGAAGUCGGAAUCGCUAGUAAUCGUGGAUCAGAAUGCCACGGUGAAUACGUCCCGGGCCUUGUACACACCGCCCGUCACACCAUGGGAGUGGGUUGCAAAAGAAGUAGGUAGCUUAACCUUCGGGAGGGCGCUUACCACUUUGUGAUUCAUGACUGGGGUGAAGUCGUAACAAGGUAACCGUAGGGGAACCUGCGGUUGGAUCACCUCCUUA
rnacentral:rRNA from 1 species